rnacentral:rRNA from 1 species
CAUAUGCUUGUCUCAAAGAUUAAGCCAUGCAUGUCUAAGAAUAAGUCCCAGAAUGACUAAUCUGCGAAUGGCUCAUUAAAUCAGUUAUUGUUUAUUUGAUGUGUGUAAAAAUGUGAUGCAAGUCACACUUUUACUACUGGAUAACCGUAGUAAUUCUAGAGCUAAUACAUGUAAAUCAAAGUCUUUGGAAACAUUUCGGUGUUUUCAGGGAUUGCAUUUAUUAGAUUCAAAACCAAUCUGCUUUAUAGUUUCUUGCGAAAGGGACUUUAAAGUUUUAAAAACGGUGACUCAUGAUAACUUUAGCGAAUCGAAACUUAAAGAAAUUUAAUCUUCUUCACGGAAGGUUAAGUUUUUUCGAUGCUUCACUCAAAUUUCUGCCCUAUCAGCUUUCGAUGGUAGGAUAUUGGCCUACCAUGGCGAUAACGGGUAACGGGGAAUCAGGGUUCGAUUCCGGAGAGGGAGCUUGAGAAAUGGCUACCACAUCCAAGGAUGGCAGCAGGCGCGCAAAUUACCCAAUCCCAAUACGGGGAGGUAGUGACAAUAAAUAACAAUGUUGGAAUAUUUUAAAAAUUCCAACAAUUGGAAUGAGAGUAAUUUAGACCUCUUCUCGAGGAACCAUUGGAGGGCAAGUCUGGUGCCAGCAGCCGCGGUAAUUCCAGCUCCAAUAGCGUAUGUUAAAGUUGUUGCAGUUAAAAAGCUCGUAGUCCAAAUUGCAAAGUCUUUUAUGGAAAUGGUAUCUCUUUCUUUUGUGUGAUUUGGUUUUUUCUUUUUAAAUUUUAAUUAUCUUAUGGAUAAUAAAAAUGAAAGUUAAAACCCCAUAAUUGAAUUAGAUAUCCCAACUUUGCUUGUACUUUGGAAGACUUUUAUUCAUGAGUCAAAUCAUGAGUAAAAAUUAGUGUUCCAAUUGUUUACUUUGAGAAAACUAGAGUGUUCGAAGCAGGCGAAAUUAAAAUUUCUCUCGCAACUGAAUACAUUAGCAUGGGAUAAUUGAAUAGGACAUUUAUAGAGAAGAGAUUACUUGGAGAAAUAAGAGUUAUGUGUAUUUAUACACAUAAAUUUCUUUUUCUUUUCAAAGUGCUUUUCUUUUGGUCCUAUUAUGUUUUUGAUUGAUGGUUCAAGGACCAAUGUAAUGAUUAAUAGGAACGGUUGGGGACAUUCAUAUUGCAUGGCUAGAGGUGAAAUUCUUGGAUUCAUGCAAGAUGAACUGCUGCGAAAGCGUUUGUCAAAGACGUUUUCAUUGAUCAAGAACGAAAGUUAGGGGAGCAAAGACGAUCAGAUACCGUCGUAGUCCUAACUAUAAACGAUGCCGACUAGGGAUCGGUGGGCGUUAAUAUAAAAUUGUUGAGACUUUAAUUAAAAAACCUUUUUUUCUUGCAAAAGAAAAAAAAUUUUUAAUGGUUUCAGCAAGAAAUGACCCCAUCGGCACCUCAAUUUGAUAUUUCUCAAUGGGAAACCAAAGUUUUUGGGUUCCGGGGGGAGUAUGGUCGCAAGGCUGAAACUUAAAGGAAUUGACGGAAGGGCACCACCAGGAGUGGAGUUUGCGGCUUAAUUUGACUCAACACGGGAAAACUCACCAGGCCCAGACAUGGUAAGGAUUGACAGAUUGAGAGCUCUUUCUUGAUUCCAUGAAAGGUGGCGCAUGGCCGUUCUUAGUUGGUGGAGUGAUUUGUCUGGUUAAUUCCGUUAACGAACGAGACCUUGGCCUGCUAACUAGGGGGGAUUAUCGUUUGGAUAAGUUUAAAAAACAUGAUUAGUAGUUUACUAUUCAUUUAGUUUGUUAUUAGUUGUGGGUUUUUCUUGUUCAUAUUUUGCGAUAGUACCUAAGAUUUUCAAAAUCUUUCAACCCUUUUUUGGUUUGAAGGGAAGGGAAAGUUAAAGAUAGGGAUUUAUCUUUGUUUUUAGCUUUUCAUUCAAACUUCCUUUUGAAUUGAAAGAGGAAAAAUCCUUCUUAGGGGGACUAUCUGCGUUUUUACAACUAGCAGAUGGAAGCUCGAGGCAAUAACAGGUCUGUGAUGCCCUUAGAUGUCCUGGGCUGCACGCGUACUACACUGACGAAUUCAACAAGUGAUUUUAAUUUAGUAAUGUUACUUGCUUUUUUUCUCCUUUCGGGGAGUUGAAAGAGAAAAAGGAUGUUAUUAAAAACCUUGGCAGAAAUGUCUGGGUAAUCUCUUUAAAGUUCGUCGUGCUAGGGAUAGAUGAUUGUAAUUAUUCGUCUUCAACGAGGAAAUCCUAGUAAGUGUG